rnacentral:rRNA from 1 species
UAAUACCGCAUUACGUCCUACGGGAGAAAGCGGGGGACCUUCGGGCCUCGCGCGGUUGGAUGGACCGAUGUGCNAUUAGCUUGUUGGUGAGGUAAUGGCUCACCAAGGCGACGAUCGCUAGCUGGUCUGAGAGGAUGGAUCAGCCACACUGGGACUGAGACACGGCCCAGACUCCUACGGGAGGCAGCAGUGGGGAAUAUUGGACAAUGGGCGCAAGCCUGAUCCAGCAAUGCCGCGUGUGUGAAGAAGGCCUUCGGGUUGUAAAGCACUUUUAUCAGGAGCGAAAUCUGCAGGGCUAAUACCCAUGCAGUCUGACGGUACCUGAGGAAUAAGCACCGG